CCUACGGGUGGCAGCAGUGAGGAAUAUUGGUCAAUGGACGAGAGUCUGAACCAGCCAAGUAGCGUGAAGGAUGACUGCCCUAUGGGUUGUAAACUUCUUUUAUAUGGGAAUAAAAUGUUCCACGUGUGGGAUUUUGUAUGUACCAUAUGAAUAAGGAUCGGCUAACUCCGUGCCAGCAGCCGCGGUAAUACGGAGGAUCCGAGCGUUAUCCGGAUUUAUUGGGUUUAAAGGGAGCGUAGGUGGAUUGUUAAGUCAGUUGUGAAAGUUUGCGGCUCAACCGUAAAAUUGCAGUUGAAACUGGCAGUCUUGAGUACAGUAGAGGUGGGCGGAAUUCGUGGUGUAGCGGUGAAAUGCUUAGAUAUCACGAAGAACGCCGAUUGCGAAGGCAGUUCACUGGACGGCAACUGACACUGAGGUUCGAAAGUGUGGGUAUCAAACAGGAUUAGAUACCCCUGUAGUC
rnacentral:rRNA from 1 species